CUAUAAGCUGCUGUGUAUCAUAUUUUUAUAGAACCUUUUCAAAAAAAAUCUAGAUUUUGAUAUUUUGAAAAAGAACUGCAAAAUUUUAAAAUUUAUCUAUCUUUGAUUUAUAAUUCAAAAAUUUUAAAUAUACGUAGCUCAGGGGAUGACCCAUAUCAAACCAAACAGAAAUCGUGGUUUAGGUACUGCCCACUGCCAAAACUUCUUAAAGCUCACUCACACACACUCAUAGCGUCCGUCGCUCUCACUGACGGCCCGUCAAAUCAAUCGUUUUGCCAGUUUUGCUUUUGAGAUUUUUUUGCGGUCUUGUGACGACAUGGAGAAGUAAAUUUUGAAGAAACCAAUGUAAAACUCGGUUAAAGAAUAUGACUUGUCAAGCAGGUUGCCGGCUCGGUUGCUGGCCCAGGAAACCUUUAGAAUGCUGCUCGUGGGGGAAAGUUGGAGUAAAGUCGAGAGGUUUGACCAUGACGAUGUUCCAGCUACCGGUCAAGAACGAAUUGGUGGUGAGCAGAAGUUAGAACCGCGAUAGCGUCGGUCAAAGAUCUUUUCUGGGCAUGAUCGGUGAAGUGCAUCUUACGAGCAACGAGUGCAGCAGUGAAAUUAUGUGUGGAAUUUGUUGUACAGUGAUGUUUUGAGUAGAGGUUCAUGAAUAAAAAGUCGAAAACAAAAAACAA